UUACUACUACCUCCGUUCCAUAAUUCUUGUCUCAAAUUUGCCCCAAAAUGGAUCUAUCUAUUCCUAAAAAACGUCUAGAUACAUGUAAUAUUUCGACGAGAAUUAUGGAACGGAGGGAGUAUAUU
rnacentral:pre_miRNA from 1 species